GUUCCACAGCCUACCUCCCCGUCUGGGUCACGUUGGCAGUGCUGGGGGGAGCCCGGCCCAUCAGGGUGCUGUGCUGACAUUGGAUGCUUCCCAUGGUGGACUGGACUUUGAAGCCUGAGGAUAUCCUGCAGGAGCCAGAGCCCUUCCUCAUGGAGCUGGACACACAUAUCCCCGGCCCAGGAGUCAGAGACAGGGAAGGAAAAUUCAGGGGGAGAAGAGAGCAAUGACAAGACCAGCUGCUGCUUCACAUCAAAGAGGCAACCUGGAGCCACCUUUGAAAUCAAGAACAGAGACUAAACGGCCUGGCGGGCGUCCAGAAGGCCCCUGAAGAUGCGUGCAUGGACGCUUGAAUCGCAGAGCCUAUUACACGGCCCAGGAAGCACAUCGGUGAGCUGGGCCUUGGGGGCCAAGGUGGCUCUGAGCACCUGGGGCAGGAUUACAGCUCCUGCCAACACGCCUGGCGCUCGGAGUGCUGACAUGGGUAUGUUCCCUGGGAAUUUCUUGCCAUUUGUAAUCUUUGUUCUUUGAUCUUUGUUUAAUGGAAAAGAAAGCUUUGCGUGCUCACUGGAGGGUCUGGCGUUCCAGGCUGGGAAGUGGAGCUCAGGCAGGCAAACCUGAAAGCAGCGCUGAACUGG